GAGCAAAGGCGUCUGAUAACAUAAACAUCAGAUGGCGUAAUUUGCAUUGAAGGUUGGCCAUAUGCAUAAAGCAAUUCUCCGUGCCUCUCAAAUUUUAUUUGUUUUAAAUAGGCCUCGAACAAGUUGCCACAUU